CGGCGGCGGCGGCUGCCCCUGCCCGGCGCCUCCCCGGCCUCUGCGGCGGCGGCUGCGUGACGGCGGGCGGGGCGGGGGCGGGACGGGGGCGGGGCGGCCGGGCCUUCUCGUGGCCACCGGCCGCGCUUCCUGCCGCCGCCGCCGGGCAGCGCUCCGCGAGAGGCCGCGGCCUCCACGGCGACCGGCAGCGCCGGUUCCGGCCACCCAGGGCGCCCCGCAGCCGCCGGGAAGCGGGGAACCGGCACCGCCAGCUCCGGCGGACGCUCUCCUCGCGGUCGAGAUCCGCCAGCCCGGCCCCUUUCUGCUCUUCGUCCCCGGGCCGGGGGGGCCGGUGGAGCGGGGCUCCGCGGGAAACCUGCCCCCAGCCCGCGUGAAAACCGAUUCGUGACAAGCGCAGGAAAGCGAUAAGCGGGCGGCACUUCUUGGCACUUAUUUGGAAACCGCGCGUCGGCUGGAAAGGGCUGUAUCUGCACCGAGCAACCGAUGCAUGCCACAACACAACCCGGGACCAGAGCUCCUAGUCAUCCGUGUCGGAAGCAUGGCUGGAGCGCACACAGCGCUUUGAACCCCCGCGCCCAGCUCUCCUCACCGCGGGAGCCAAGGGCAGAACCUGGUGCAGGGCCAGAGCUUGCCGGCAGUAGAGGCCAGAUACAGCCGGGGCGCUGAAUCAGAAGUUCAGAAACAGUUUAGCUCAUCUAGUAUUUUAGUAAUCCAGGCUUCCUGCUUGGAUCCAGAAGCUCAGUCUUCAGAGUUCCCUUCCCCGCUUGUUCAGGUGGAUGCUCAUUUCCUAACUGUUGUCUCUAUCAGUCCCAAGUAGACACAAUGAUGCCUCAUGAUGGAAAGUUUGUUAGGCUCCUUGUUGAAGCAUGUACUUUGCAAAACGUUAAAGAGGUGGGAUUCAGUGUCUCUUAGAUAGCCAUAGAACAGCAGGAUGUGAGAAUACAAAAUGUGUCACGCUUCAUGCCUGGCAACAGGCAAAUUUCUUGUCUGGGGUUUCAGAGGGUAAAGAAAUAUAGAACAUGAGGGAAUACUACAAAUCAAAACUGGAAAAACUGUAAUUUUGCUAGAGAAAAAUCUGAGACCUCAUAAAUAAUAGAACUAGUGUAUAAGGUCUGUGAACACUGCUUUUUAAAGAGGAGAGCUAGCCUGUUUCCAGUGUUAUGAGUGAAAUUAGAAGCACAGAAAUUAGACCAGAACCAUAUAAAUGAAGCAGUAAGUGGGGAUGCUCUGAGAACCGAGGAAUUUUCUUUGUAUUCUUCAGAGGGUGAUAGAGGGGAAAAGACUGCAGGUAACCACAGGCAGACCUUGAAAAAGUAGCUGUGGAAGCAACGGCUGAAGCAGUUGUGACCAAUAUCAAUUCCACACUAAAAUAUAAAAUAAAGCCACCGCAAUAGCAACCUCCAGAAACAAAAGAUCUUUUUCAAAUUUGGAGAGUUACUUUUAACCACAGUCAUUUUGUAGAUCCAGCUUACAAGGCAGCCCUACGAAUACUCAUGUUGUAACCAUAGCACGGGCUCAGAAAAAAGGUGAAGUUAGGGCUUUAGACGGUCUCUUGGCUCUCCCUGCUCCCGCCUGUGUGUGCCUUUCCUUUUUCCAUGUGGUCGUGCUUGUCAGACCCUGCCCUGGGCUGAUUUCACAUGCUGUUCCACAAAAAGACUAGCCUAGCAAAAAAACCUAGCAGUUUCCUGCCAGGAUAGUGAAUUGAACCUGUUCAGCUAAAAGUCAGAUGAGCAAGGAAGGAGACGGGACUGCAGGUGCUGAAGCAGGACAUAGGGGGGAAACGGGAGAAGGGGAUUUCGAUGUCCCCAUCAUCACUUUGGCUUUGCCUCCAUGUGCAUCUUCACCCAGAGGGGCAACUUCUCCAUCUGGCUUCAUGCCAAAGCUAAUGCGAUCAAAGCUCCCUGCCCUGCGCUUUCUGCUGGAGGUAAAUUACCCAACAGAGAGCCUGACUGAUGGAGCGUUGCCUCCCUACCUUGCUGUCCUCCUUAGCAUGAUCCCCACUGCCACCCCUCUUCUCAAAUAUAUACUUUUAUCGCUUCCAGGCAUCAAAAAAACUUUAUGGCAUGCAGAGACUGCAGCUUGUUUCCUACCUCUUUGCUCUGGUUCAGAAGAUUUUUGUAUGUCAAAGGAUUUGGUCCAUAGUUACUGGCAGGGCCUAGGCAGAAAUCAGAGACAGUCUGUCAGCAUUUCAAGCUGAGUUUUACAUGGCUGGAUCCCAGUCCUGGAUCAUCCCAGGGCCUGGCUCAGGGCCUGCUCUCUGACUAUUGUGACUACAGGUGCUGAUUGAGGUGGGGUGGCAGAUGGCCAAGAGGAUGUCCGGGCAGCUAUUUGCACAUGAAAACAUUUGCUUUGCACCUGCAGUAGCAUUAAUGAGGCAGCAAUCAAGCCCUCGUCUCUGCUGUUUUGAAAAUCAGUCUAACAUGGUGAUACGCACAGCAGCAUAUCAGCAUGAAGCACCUGCUUUGGCUGCUUCUGUUUUCUCCAGUGUUCAGAGCCUUCCUUCUGGGCUUUCAUCCAUGCGGUUUCUGCCUGAGCCUUUCCCCUUUACCAGCAAGAUCAAGAAGAAACCAUCUGUGCUCCAUGUCCUGCACCGUAGCUCUCCAAGCUCCAUAAUCACUCUUGAUAUGCUCAGGGUCUCCCUUGGCAAUAUCACUGGUUGCUAAUUAGUUAGGAUGCUACAUUAUAUAUAUAUGUGUAUAUAUAUAUAUAUAUCUGUGUGGGCUACAGGCUGAAGGAAAGGAGGGAGCUGAGGAUGCAGUACGUGGGCUAGAAAGAACAAACAGAGGAUGUUUAAUAUGUGUGGAGAGGAAGAUAAUUUUUAAUUACUUUCUGUAACGUGUAUCUACCAAAAGAUGGCAGCAAAUCUCCUAGGAUGGGAGCUGGCCGUGUGUCAUCUCUUCUGUUCUGCUCUGUUUUUCGUACACGCUGAGACCUGUUGAUUAUCCUGAUGAGUAGCAGAUGGACUGAAGGAUCACAGUAGAUGUUAUCAAAGGAGAAAAUCUGUGCUUGUGACUUCAGUUUAAAAGGAAUAGGCUCCAUCAACAGUAUAAGAAAUCAUGCUGUAAAUCAACAUGUUCUAAACUUCUCUCAUUUAUUUUGGCUGUCCCUGGUUUGGGUAAUGUUACAUCUUAAUUUAUUUUGCCAGGUGAAAACAGAAUACUAGAAAUCCAUGACUGCCACAAAUAAUCUGCAUACCAAGUCCAUCUGAAUGUGCAUUGCCAUCACAAGCUUUGGCUCUCGAGCUUGGAUAGACUUGAACAGGCUACAAUUGAACACUGUAGUUUGCUGGAAAAUCUGGAACUGAACCAUUCUUUGUUAUAUAAAUCUGCAUGCUAGCAAAGGAUUACUUUUAAGCUCUGUGCUGUAUCACUAAUGGAUAGAGCUGUGACCCUGGUUCUCAUACUAUUUCAUACCAUAUGAACUGAGCAUAAAUCACAGAGUUACAUUAAUGGCACAAACAGCAUUAGAUUAUAGCUCUGGGCGUCGGAUUCCCCUCUGCAGUCUGCCUUAUGCUCAUCCUGAUCUGGCAGAAUUUUACACUUGUUCUGUACAACAGCUGGCGGUGACAAGGUGCAGGGCAUGGGAGGAUCAGCCUUUCUCUAUUUCCAAGUAAGAUUCUGAUUCAAUUCCUUCAUCAAAUGGGGUCAGUGAAUACUAUUUUCAUUAAUCAGCUUUAUGUAACUACACUACACAAAAUUUUGUCAUUUUUCCCUCUGUCUCCCAAAAUAACUUAUCUAACUAAAACGAAGUUAUGGGAAGAAAUUGCCCUGCUGCUCAUUUGCAGCUCAUGAAUUUUACAUUAUUUUAAGAAGGAAGUAUAAUUCAAAUACAGCUUCAUUCAUACCCCAUGACAUGUUUGAACAGCUGAAAAACUCAUCACCCAUAGAUCCAAGAUAUAUUUGUUUGGUAGACUUUGAUUUGGCCCCUUUUAAUAACAGAAAUGUUUUCAACUUUUGAACUUGCAAGGAAUUUGUUCAUAAUCAGUCAAGAACACACUGGUGGAAUAAAUGAUCACACGAGCAAGGACA